rnacentral:rRNA from 1 species
GACGAACGCUGGCGGCGUGCUUAACACAUGCAAGUCGAACGGUGAAGGGAAGCUUGCUUCCCGGAUCAGUGGCGAACGGGUGAGUAACACGUGGGCAAUCUGCCCCAGACUUUGGGAUAACUACUCGAAAGAGUAGCUAAUACCGAAUAUUCAGCCUUGCAGGCAUCUGCGAGGCUGGAAAGUUUCUCGGUCUGGGAUGAGCCGCGGCCUAUCAGCUAGUUGGUGAGGUAAUGGCUCACCAAGGCGACGACGGGUGGCCGGCCUGAGAGGGCGACCGGCCACACUGGGACUGAGACACGGCCCAGGACUCCUACGGGAGGCAGCAGUGGGGAAUAUUGCGCAAUGGCGAAAGCCUGACGCAGCAACGCCGCGUGCGGGAUGAA